rnacentral:sRNA from 1 species
AGAGGACACUGGUACCUUUUGCUCUAAUUCCUCUGGGGACUCAGGUAGUUUCCUUCUUCUGCCCCUCCCUCCCUUGCUUCCUCCCCUGCUCCAUCCCUUUCUUUUGUUUUUGUAACACCAGGCUUCACUCAGUAGCCCCUGUUGGAUUCACUGUGUGGCCCAGACUCAAGGCAAAGCCUGCUUCCGCCUCUUGGUGCUGAGACUUACAGCAUUGUGUCAAUGAUACAUCCUUACAGUGAGGAAUGUAAACACAAUCCUCACCAGCAGUACAGGAGGAUGACUUCAAGGAAGAUGGCUUCAAGGAGGAUGGCUUCAAGAGCAAAGGGAUGGAGUGGGGAGAGCCAGAGAGCACACAGCUUUUCUAAAUAUAGACUAUUUCUCAGCCAUCUGAUGUCCCACCAUCCCACCAGCAGACAUGUCCCACACGAGAUCACAGAACAAUAUGAAAUGUUCCCUGUUUCCUGCUCUAAAGGCAGUGGGACCUGAGAGUAGAGCCUAAAAGUGAGGUGGAAUAGAAGUUUCACGCAAUCGUCAACUUUAGACAGUUCAUACACUGAGGGUUGAGACUCAAAAGUACCAGGUCCCUGACCAAGGAGCUCUUCAUCCAUUCCUUAAUGAAGAUGCAUGGGCUUGCAACCAGGGCGAGUAAAGACAGCUAUUGAGUAACGGCUACUGAGGUGCAAUGCAGACUGUGCUCUAUAUAAGCAGGGUGUCAAGACUGUACAACACUAAGAAGCUUUUAAUAGCCAGGGCUGUCUGGCACAAGGUCGCAGAGGAGUGUCGCAGGGGCGGGGCAGCAGAGCGGCGGACUUCAGUGCCCAGGAUGACGCCUGCCAGGUGAGCAGAGAAUAGCUUACUCAAACCAUUGAAGCAGCUCUCCACGCCCACCCAGGAUCCACAAGCCGGUCCGGAGUCUCCAAGCACCCAAUCGCCAAGCAGCAAGGCGCCAGCAGCAGCGAACUCGCUCUGAGCAUGCGCAUAGAGAACCGACAAGUCCUCAUGCGCUGCGCAGUGCCAGAGGUUGAACUUCCUACCGGAAGUGGGUUCAUUUUCCACCGGAAGGAGGCUGAAAUUGCGGCCGAAAUCCUGACACCUGAUGCUGGCGGCUUUUGUUUCGCGAAGUUGGGCCAGUAUGUGGCCACCUUUGGCGGCGGGUGACUGGUGUCCGGGUGUAUGUAUUACCUGAACACACAGAGCAGCUGUUUCCAUGCUUGGAUCAGUCAGAGAUUAUGCAGCCACAACUAUGCCUUAGAUGUGUGUAAUUCAAGUGGAGAAAACACAAGCCCGUGAUGUCGAUAUCAACACUUGAGUGUUCUGUAAACGAUUUAUCAGAGGUUGCAGCUGAACACGGCCAUGAGGUAAACCCUGCCCCUGGUUGACAUUUAGUUUCUUCAGCUUCUACGUGGGAUUUUAAGGACUUGGGAUAUAUCACAAAACCCAGCAGCCGCCCCCCACCCUUUUAAGAUUUAUUUUUUCUUCCUGAAGAUUCCAUGCUUAAAGUUCUUUAUGGUUAGUAACUGUGAUGCUUGAAGUUGGUUAUCCCUUAUUCUAGUAAAUCUUAAAUGUCAAAGAUAUAGAUAUCUUGUUAAAUAAAGAAAAGAAUCAAAAUC